AUAGAUACCCGGGUAGUCCAUGCCGUAAACGUUGGGCACUAGGUGUGGGGGGACAUUCCACGUUUUCCGCGCCGUAGCUAACGCAUUAAGUGCCCCGCCUGGGGAGUACGGCCGCAAGGCUAAAACUCAAAGGAAUUGACUGGGGGCCCGCACAAGCGGCGGAGCAUGCGGAUUAAUUCGAUGCAACGCGAAGAACCUUACCAAGGCUUGACAUGAACCGGAAACGCCUGGAAACAGGUGCCCCACUUGUGGUCGGUUUACAGGUGGUGCAUGGAUGUCGUCAGCUCGUGUCGUGAGAUGUUGGGUUAAGUCCCGCAACGAGCGCAACCCUCGUUCUAUGUUGCCAGCACGUGAUGGUGGGGACUCAUAGGAGACUGCCGGGGUCAACUCGGAGGAAGGUGGGGACGACGUCAAAUCAUCAUGCCCCUUAUGUCUUGGGCUUCACGCAUGCUACAAUGGCCGGUACAAAGGGUUGCGAUACUGUGAGGUGGAGCUAAUCCCAAAAAGCCGGUCUCAGUUCGGAUUGGGGUCUGCAACUCGACCCC
rnacentral:rRNA from 1 species